rnacentral:rRNA from 1 species
UACGAAGGGGGCUAGCGUUGCUCGGAAUCACUGGGCGUAAAGCGCACGUAGGCGGAUUGCUAAGUCAGGGGUGAAAUCCUGGAGCUCAACUCCAGAACUGCCUUUGAUACUGGGGUAUCUCUAGUCCGGAAGAGGUGAGUGGAACUCGAGUGUAGAGGUGAAAUUCGUAGAUAUUCGGAAGAACACCAGUGGCGAAGGCGGCUCACUGGUCCGGUACUGACGCUGAGGUGCGAAAGCGUGGGGAGCAAACAGGAUUAGAAAACCCG